rnacentral:misc_RNA from 1 species
UUAUCAUUUAGAGGAAGGAGAAGUCGUAACAAGGUUUCCGUAGGUGAACCUGCGGAAGGAUCAUUGUCGAAUCCUGCGAGGACAGACCGGCGAAUCCGUUCAGAAGACGGGAGGCGGGGGCGGGUUCGUCCCGCACUCGCAACCCCCGCAUCGGCGGCCGGACGCCGCCUAACAAGCGCGGGACGCGCCAAGGACCCCUCACAGCGGACGCCUCGCCCGUGCAUCGGCCCAUCGGCGGAGCCAGGCGAGGGGCGCCGGUUGAAUAAAAAAUGACUCUCGGCAACGGAUAUCUAGGCUCUCGCAUCGAUGAAGAACGUAGCAAACUGCGAUGCUUGGUGUGAAUUGCAGAAUCCCGCGAACCAUCGAGUUUUUGAACGCAAGUUGCGCCCGAAGCCACUAGGCCGAGGGCACGCCUGCCUGGGCGUCGCGUCACGCAUCGCGUCGCCCUCCCCUCUCCCGUCAGCCUCUCUGGGGCUCGGCAGGAAUGCGGGAGGGCGGAGACUGGCCUCCCGCGCCCCUCGCGCGGCCGGCAGAAACACGAAUCCGCCGUGCCGGACGUUGCGACCAUCGGUGGUACUCACCCAAGGCCAGAACCCAGGUACCGCGCCGCGCCGGCUGGAGCUCCCACGACCCGCGAGCGAGAGGCCCCCGACGCCGGGCGGCAACGCAGCAACGCCGACCCCAGGUCAGGCGGGAUCACCCGCUGAGUUUAAGCAUAU